rnacentral:rRNA from 1 species
GACGAACGCUGGCGGCGUGCCUAAUACAUGCAAGUUGAGCGCUGAAGGUUGGUACUUGUACCAACUGGAUGAGCAGCGAACGGGUGAGUAACGCGUGGGGAAUCUGCCUUUGAGCGGGGGACAACAUUGGGAAACGAAUGCUAAUACCGCAUAAAAACUUUAAACACAAGUUUUAAGUUUGAAAGAUGCAAUUGCAUCACUCAAAGAUGAUCCCGCGUUGUGUUAGCUAGGUGGUGAGGUAAAGGCUCACCAAGGCGAUGAUACAUAGCCGACCUGAGAGGGUGAUCGGGCACAUUGGGAAUGGUAAACGGCCCAAAAUCCUCCGGGAGGCAGCCGUAGGGACUACUCGGGAAUGGAGGGAAGUCUGACCGAGCAACGCCGCGUGCGUGAAGAAGGUUUUCGGAUCGUAAAACUCUGUUGGUAGAGAAGAACCUUGGUGCGAGUGGAAAGCUCAUCAAGUGACGGUAACUACUCAGAAAGGGACGGCUAACUACGUG